GGCAAUAUCUCUGGUGGAAAAAACUCGUCUACAUCGACCUCCGUUUGUACAUUCCAUCACACCCAGCAAUAGCUGUACAUUGUAGUCAGCAACCAUUUUACUUUGUGUGUUUUUUCACGACUGAACACCAGCUGCUAUCAAGCAAGCUUAUAUCAUGUAAAUUAUAUGAAUUAGGAGAUGUUUUGGUUUCAGAAGUCAUCAUCAUCUGAUGUAGAGCCUACAGCAUCUAAAAACAUGAAAUCAAGUCCUAAUGAGGUUCUGCAAUUUUCUGAAACCUGAGCUGCUCUGCCAAGCCAUCUGGCAGGGAUUUGGGGCAACAGUGACCAUGGGGAAACGGCCCUCAUUGUCUAUUCUGCAUAAUCCACUUUGGGGAUUGUCUUUAUUUAAAAGGAACUAAGUAGUGAA
rnacentral:sRNA from 1 species